AUUGAACGCUGGCGGCAGGCCUAACACAUGCAAGUCGAACGAGUGGCGGACGGGUGAGUAAUGUCUGGGAAACUGCCUGCUGGAGGGGGAUAACUACUGGAAACGGUAGCUAAUACCGCAUACCAUCAGAUGUGCCCAGAUGGGUUUAGCUUGUUGAUGGGGUAACGGCUCACCAAGGCGACGAUCCCUAGCUGGUCUGAGAGGAUGACCAGACAAACUGGAACUGAGACACGGUCCAGAUUCCUACGGGAGGCAGCAGUGGGGAAAAUUGCACAAUAGGCGCAAGCCUGAUGCAGCCAUGCCGCGUGUAUGAAGAAGGCAUUCGGGUUGGAAAGUACUUUCAGCGGGGAGGCGUUAACCGCAGAAGAAGCGCCGGCUAACUCCGUGCCAGCCGGCGCGGUAAUAA
rnacentral:rRNA from 1 species